rnacentral:rRNA from 1 species
CUAGGGGCACCUGAUCCAUUCCAUCCGCGUGAGUGAAGAAGGCCUUCGGGUUGUAAAGCUCUUUCGCAAGGGAAGAAAACUCGAUCUCUAAUAUAGGUUGAGGCUGACGGUACCUUGAUAAGAAGCACCGGCUAACUACGUGCCAGCAGCCGCGGUAAUACGUAGGGUGCGAGCGUUAAUCGGAAUUACUGGGCGUAAAGCGUGCGCAGGCGGUUUUGAAAGUCAGAUGUGAAAUCCCCGGGCUCAACCUGGGAACUGCGUUUGAAACUCCAAAGCUAGAGUAUGGGAGAGGGAGGUAGAAUUCCACGUGUAGCAGUGAAAUGCGUAGAGAUGUGGAGGAAUACCAAUGGCGAAGGCAGCCUCCUGGCCUAAUACUGACGCUCAUGCACGAAAGCGUGGGGAGCAAACAGGAUUAGAUACCCUGGUAGUCCACGCCCUAAACGAUGUCUACUAGUUGUUGGGAGAGUAAAAUCUUUUAGUAACGAAGCUAACGCGAGAAGUAGACCGCCUGGGGAGUACGGUCGCAAGAUUAAAACUCAAAGGAAUUGACGGGGGCCCGAACAAGCGGUGGAUUAUGUGGAUUAAUUCGAUGCAA